rnacentral:rRNA from 1 species
UACGUAGGUGGCAAGCGUUGUCCGGAUUUACUGGGCGUAAAGAGCGCGCAGGCGGUCGUUCAAGUCGGAUGUGAAAGCCCCCGGCUCAACUGGGGAGGGUCAUUCGAUACUGAUCGACUCGAAGGCAGGAGAGGGAAGCGGAAUUCCCGGUGUAGUGGUGAAAUGCGUAGAGAUCAGGAAGAACACCAGUGGCGAAGGCGGCUCACUGGCCCGAUACUGACGCUGAGGCACGAAAGCGUGGGGAGCAAACAGG